GAGUCUAGCAUGUGCGCGAGUCAUUGGGACUCGAGCGAAACCUAAAGGCACAAUGAAAGCGAAGGUCCGCCUUGCGCGGGCCGAGGGAGGAUGGGCGGUCGCACCGGACCGCCCCGCACUCCCGGGGCGUCUCACUCUCAUCGCGAGAAGAGGCGCACCAGCAGCGUACACGCUGGGACCCGAAAGAUGGUGAACUAUGCCUGGUCAGGACGAAGUCAGGGGAAACCCUGAUGGAGGUCCGUAGCGAUUCUGACGUGCAAAUCGAUCGUCGGAACUGGGUAUAGGGGCGAAAGACUAAUCGAACCAUCUAGUAGCUGGUUCCCUCCGAAGUUUCCCUCAGGAUAGCUGGCGCUCGCUACUCGCGAGUCUCAUUCGGUAAAGCGAAUGAUUAGAGGCAUUGGGGUCGAAACGGCCUCAACCUAUUCUCAAACUUUAAAUGGGUGAGAUCUCCGGCUUGCUUGAACUGUGAAGCCGCGAGAUAUCGGAUCAGAGUGCCAAGUGGGCCACUUUUGGUAAGCAGAACUGGCGCUGUGGGAUGAACCAAACGCCGAGUUAAAGCGCCUAAAUCGACGCUUAUGGGAUACCAUGAAAGGCGUUGGUAACUUAAGACAGCAGGACGGUGGCCAUGGAAGUCGGA
rnacentral:rRNA from 1 species